rnacentral:hammerhead_ribozyme from 1 species
AUCCAUCUGACGAGUCUCAAAUAGGACGAAACGCGCGUCCCAGAU